UCUAUUUUGGCACCCCCACCUUUCUCCUGCUGCUUUUCUGUCUACUUAGCUAACCAGCAGCAAGUUUAUCCUUGCAAGCGUUUGGGGUAAAGAACAACUUUCACCAGGAAAAAGUGCAAGACGAGUGAUUGAAGAAAAUAUAGUUGCUUCUGUGAUCUAAAAA
rnacentral:lncRNA from 1 species